UGGGGAAUUUUGGACAAUGGGCGAAAGCCUGAUCCAGCAAUGCCGCGUGUGUGAAGAAGGCCUUCGGGUUGUAAAGCACUUUUGUCCGGAAAGAAAUCCUUGGCUCUAAUACAGUCGGGGGAUGACGGUACCGGAAGAAUAAGCACCGGCUAACUACGUGCCAGCAGCCGCGGUAAUACGUAGGGUGCAAGCGUUAAUCGGAAUUACUGGGCGUAAAGCGUGCGCAGGCGGUUUGCUAAGACCGAUGUGAAAUCCCGUCGGCAUCAGCAUGGAAUGCUGCAUGUGAUGGCAGGCUAGAGUAUGGCAGAGGGGGGUAGAAUUCCACGUGUAGCAGUGAAAUGCGUAGAGAUGUGGAGGAAUACCGAUGGCGAAGGCAGCCCCCUGGGCCAAAUACUGACGCUCAUGCACGAAAGCGUGGGGAGCAAACAGGAUUAGAUACCCUGGUAGUCCACGCCCUAAACGAUGUCAACUAGUUGUUGGGGAUUCAUUUCCUUAGUAACGUAGCUAACGCGUGAAGUUGACCGCCUGGGGAGUACGGUCGCAAGAUUAAAACUCAAAGGAAUUGAC
rnacentral:rRNA from 1 species